GAAAUGCGAUAAGUAAUGUGAAUUGCAGAAUUCGGUGAAUCAUCGAAUCUUUGAACGCACAUUGCGCCCCCUGGUAUUCCGGGGGGCAUGCCUGUUCGAGCGUCAUUUCACCACUCAAGCCUCGCUUGGUAUUGGGCGACGCGGUCCGCCGCGCGCCUCAAAUCGACCGGCUGGGUCUUUCGUCCCCUCAGCGUUGUGGAAACUAUUCGCUAAAGGGUGCCGCGGGAGGCCACGCCGUAAAACAACCCCAUUUCUAAGGUUGACCUCGGAUCAGGUAGGGAUACCCGCUGAACUUAAGC
rnacentral:misc_RNA from 1 species